AUCUCAGCCUGUUGCUCUGAGACAUUCUGUGUACACUGCAGAACACUUGAAGUCUUACAGAGCCCUUGAGUUUCUCAUAGAAUAUCCUGAUGAUCUUUUGGAAGGAGCAAGAGUUCACAAAUGGAACUAUGAUGAGAAGAUAAAAUAUUAUUUUUCAAAGGAAAAUGCCUUUUACACCUGAGACCAGCCACGGUGCAUCAGAUAUGUUGGUGUUUUUCUAGAAAUGAUUACCACCGGCUAAGCAAAAAGACAG